rnacentral:rRNA from 17 species
UCUCGGCAACGGAUAUCUCGGCUCUCGCAUCGAUGAAGAACGUAGCGAAAUGCGAUACCUGGUGUGAAUUGCAGAAUCCCGUGAACCAUCGAGUCUUUGAACGCAAGUUGCGCCCGAGGCCAUCCGGCUAAGGGCACGCCUGCCUGGGCGUCACG